GUGCUCACUUCAGCAGCACAUAAAGUUCAAACAAUACAGAGAAGAUUAGCAUGACCCAUGCGCAAGGAUGACAUGCAAAUUCGUGAAGGUUCCAUAUUAAA
rnacentral:snRNA from 1 species